AUGGCCCCCGUAGCCCCCGCCGCUUCCCCCGCCGCCGCCCCUCCCCCUCCCCCUCCCAGCCCGGCCGGGGAUGAAGGCCCUGACCCGGAUCCCGACCCGCGCCCCUCUCCGGCGGUCGCUCUUUUCGCCCCUGCUNNNNNNNNUCCGGCCCCUGCGGCUCCGACCCCGGCCGCCCCGGACCUGGCCGCUGCGGCCCCUGCGGCUCCGACCCCGGCGCCCGCCGCUCUGGCCCCGGCCGCCCCGGCUUGGGUGGAGGUUGGGAGACGGCGCCGCCCGAGCCUGGAGAAGGUGGCUGCUCCCCCUCCCAGGAAGGAUGCUGGACUGCCUCGCACUUUCAAGCAGAGGACUUUCGGCCUCUGCUUUCGGUGCUUGGCGUCGGACCACUACAUCGCGGGCUGCCGCGGCCCUGUCCGGUGCUUGGGAUGUGGCCACUCCGGCCAUCGCGAGCGGGAGUGCUUGGCACGGCAUCCUGCCGACAGCCCUGCGACUGAUGGUGUCGUGCCGGCGGCUGACCCCGGCGUGCCCCCUACUGUUUUUGAGCCAUUGCGGCCACUUCUUGCAGCUCAGGCGGAGGCGCUCGGCGCUGAGCUACAGGCCUUGUUCGCUGCUCGUCUUGAGGUGCUGUUCAAGCCUCUUCAAGACUUGGUUGCUGCUGUGGAGAGUUGGACUGCUCAAGUCUCAAGCCUAUGGGAACCUAUGGAAGCUAUCGGGGGCAGCCAAGACCUUGCCAAUGUUGAAUCUGCUCCUCCUGUUGUGGCCGUUGGAGAGGAUUACAGUGCGCUUGUUGUGGCUAGCUGCUCAGCUGAGUUGAGUGAGAAGGCUCAGUCCGUUGAUGAUUCGCCUGCCUUGGAAAAGGUCAUGCUCGAGGAUGAUCCUCCUGACUUGGCUUCUGUCCUACCCGGGAUGUCGACACUGGAGGAGCCGAAGGUCUCCAGUGCCCCUUGCACCGGGAUGCCUUCAAAGGGGCUGAUCCAGAUGGAUGCAGAUGAGCCUCUUGGGAGAGCUCCUCUCAAUGGGGGGAGUUCCUCGAAGAUCUUGCUCUCACUGUGUCCAGCUCGCCGCAAGUUUUGCAGGUGGGAGAGGCUGCCCCUUCUCUCUUAG
rnacentral:rRNA from 1 species